rnacentral:rRNA from 1 species
GGAUUAGAUACCCUGGUAGUCCACGCCGUAAACGAUGAACACUAGGUGUUGGUGGAGUCGAAUCCGUCGGUGCCGCAGUUAACGCGUUAAGUGUUCCGCCUGGGGAGUACGGCCGCAAGGCUAAAACUCAAAAGAAUUGACGGGGGCCCGCACAAGCAGCGGAGCAUGUUCUUUAAUUCGAUGCAACGCGAAGAACCUUACCUGGACUUGACAUGGUGCUGCAAGCGCACGGAAACGUGUGACCUUAGAGGGUGCACCACAGAUGCUGCAUGGCUGUCGUCAGCUCGUGUCGUGAGAUGUUGGGUUAAGUCCGCAACGAGCGCAACCCCGUCGUGUGUUGCCAUCAUUUAGUUGGGGACUCACGCGAGACUGCCGGUGACAAACCGGAGGAA